UUUUAAAUCACAAAACAAUGUAUUAUUAUUA
rnacentral:lncRNA from 1 species